rnacentral:rRNA from 1 species
UACGUAGGGGGCCAGCGUUGUUCGGAAUUACUGGGUGUAAAGGGUUCGUAGGCGGUGUAGCAAGUCGAUAGUGAAAUCUCUGGGCUUAACCCAGAGGCUGCUAACGAAACUGCUGUGCUAGAGUGUGAGAGAGGCGAGUGGAAUUACGGGUGUAGCGGUGAAAUGCGUAGAUAUCCGUAGGAACAUCCGAGGCGAAGGCGGCUCGCUGGAUCACAACUGACGCUGAGGGACGAAAGCGUGGGGAUCAAACAGG